UGGCGGGUGGGUGAAAGACCCGAGCUAACAUGGGGUUAGUUCGUUAAAUUACAAUAAAGCCUCGUGCAGUUUGCAGCAAGCUCUCGAAUCUGCCUGGUGAUUGGGGUGACCGCGAACGUGGCCUGGGACCCCGAAUACUUGAGUUUUCGGGGGUCUAACAGGCUUUGAACUUCUGAUCCUUUUGCCUGUACCUUCGGAGUACUGGGGAUAGCCUACAUGUGCUGCCACACUGGACUUACUAGCUCAGGAUCCAAACCAGAGCUUUGUACAAGCUAGGGAAGUAUUCUACUGACUGGGCUACAGCUUCUACCCCAGAACAGACUUCAAAUAUACCACCAAUUGUGAUAUGCUUCAGAAUAGCAAAAAAUGAAACAAUUCUUAAAAACGUCAAGAAAAGUCUGUUAAUCAAAAAGGAGUGUGUAUCAGACCGGUAAUGAGACUCUCCAGAAAUGCAAAAUGUUAAAAGAGAACCACCCUAAGUUUCUACAGCCAAAGAGCUGUCCAUCGCAGGCUUUGUGUCCCGACUUGACUGACCAUGGACUGUGGGCAGGGAGUUAGUCGCUCCUGAGAUACGAACCAACUUGGGUCGGUGAGUAAUUCCAUCUACUCUGGGCGUGUGACAUCUUCUUACCUGCGGGAUGGACCAGCGUUCAAUCCGUGGAGUUACUGUACCCUGCUGCCCACAGCCCGUUACAGACCCUCAAUCACCAGCCUCAAAGGAGAGCGCCCCAAGACACAGGGAGAAACACCGCCGACAGCCCGGGACUGCGAGCCGCCCACUCGCCCGCCCGCCGGCCGGCACGCGCGGGUUGGAGCCCGGCCAACCCGCAGCGCGCCCUACACACCCCACAGGCGAGCCAGCCUCCCGCCGAGAGACGCCCUCACCUCAGCCCUGGAGACUCGCGCCCUCAGCCAGCCGGCUCGGCCGCUACCACACGCCCGCCUUCCCCGGCCGGGCCAGAUGCUCAUUGGCUACAGCCCCUGCCGCUCAGCGCCUCGGACGCUCCCGCGCGUCCCGAGGCCUCCGGGUGCUGGUCGGAGAGCGCCGCCACCUGAUUGGCCAGCGCCGGCCCUCGGCGGGUCUCGCGCUAUCUGCUGUGGCCAAUGGGACUCCCCGCAGUCUAGAGAGCCGCGUCGCUGGAGCGGUGGCGCAGCUUUUGGCUCGGUCUGGCUGUUCCCCACUGCUCCUCAGUGAUUUGGGGCAGGAAAAGAUUUGGAAAGACAGAAACCAAAGAAGAUGGGAGACUGCCACCAGCAAAGACCAUUUAGAGAAGAAUUUGGGUGCAAAGAGCUUUUCUAGAGAGGGGAAGGUGAGCCUUAAAGGAAGGAGCAUGGAGCCUCCAGGCAGUGAAGAUGAUGGUCAACAAGAAGAGGUAGAGGAAAUCAAGGAUCUAUUGAAGCUGAUUGGAAGGUGGAUAAGCCUGCCUCCCAUCCAAAAAGGAUGAAAAUAAACAACACAAAA
rnacentral:lncRNA from 1 species